rnacentral:ncRNA from 1 species
UAUAUUUGCCGCUCAUUCCUGAAAAUCAGGUAUGUUACAUAAAAAUUAUUUAAAAAAAUAUUGGAAUG